AGGAAUCAGCAUCGGCUAACUCCGUGCCAGCAGCCGCGGUAAUACGGGGGAUGCAAGCGUUAUCCGGAAUUAUUGGGCGUAAAGCGUCCGUAGGCGGCUAGAUAAGUCUGUUGUUAAAGCGUGCAGCUCAACUGCAUACGGGCAAUGGAAACUAUUUAGCUAGAGUGUGGUAGGGGUAGAGGGAAUUCCCGGUGUAGCGGUGAAAUGCGUAGAUAUCGGGAAGAACACCAGUGGCGAAAGCGCUCUGCUGGGCCACAACUGACGCUGAUGGACGAAAGCUAGGGGAGCGAAAGGGAUUAGAUACCCCUGUAGUCCUAGCCGUAAACGAUGAACACUAGGUGUUGUCUGUAUCGACCCGGACAGUGCCGUAGCUAACGCGUUAAGUGUUCCGCCUGGGGAGUACGCACGCAAGUGUGAAACUCAAAGGAAUUGACGGGGGCCCGCACAAGCGGUGGAGUAUGUGGUUUAAUUCGAUGCAACGCGAAGAACCUUACCAGGACUUGACAUCCCUCAAACAUUCUAGAAAUAGAUUGGUGCCUUCGGGAAUGAGGAGACAGGUGGUGCAUGGCUGUCGUCAGCUCGUGUCGUGAGAUGUUGGGUUAAGUCCCGCAACGAGCGCAACCCACGUUUUUAGUUGCCAUCAUUAAGUUGGGCACUCUAGAGAGACUGCCGGUGACAAACCGGAGGAAGGUGUGGACGACGUCAAGUCAUCAUGCCCCUUACGUUCUGGGCUACACACGUACUACAAUGCUUCGGACAGAGGGCAGCGAGCUCGCGAGAGUCAGCUAAUCCCAUAAACCGAGGCUCAGUUCAGAUUGCAGGCUGCAACUCGCCUGCAUGAAGGAGGAAUCGCUAGUAAUCGCAGGUCAGCAUACUGCGGUGAAUACGUUCCCGGGCCUUGUACACACCGCCCGUCACACCAUGG
rnacentral:rRNA from 1 species